rnacentral:tRNA from 1 species
GGCCUGCUGGCCUAAUGGCAAGGCGCCUGACUUCGGAUCAGGAGAUUGCAGGUUCGAGUCCUGCGUAGGUCA